UACAGUAAAAUGAUAUUUAUUAAAAAAAAAAAAUGUUUGAUACGUUGCAAAUAUUAUGGAAAUAAAAUAAUAUGGAGAAUGCAGGAUAGAAGGUAUGUUGAGUACUGGCUUUCAAUGGUUUUCAAUGAAUCACAAGUAUUCGUGUGGAGAAACUUAACCAUCUGUGAUAUUGUCUACCAACAAUGACACUGCAUGACUUCUUCUAUUAGCCUUCUACGUUACACAAGUGGCACUUAAAACAUGCAGUCUGUUUUCCAGUUACUCUCGUGUUCAAGUUUUGUCUUUUGUCGAAAUACGCGACAUGAACAAAUAUACCAAUAGAUUACUGAAAUGGGCCACUUCAUGCGCAACAACCAAAUAAUAUCAUUUACCCAAUUAUCCAGCUAAUAAUCAGAAUAAACACCUUUCAAAGACCUUUCUCUGCAAAUCUCGAUGGCAUUGUCGGCCAAGGUUAAAAGAAGAGGGUUAAAAGAAGAUGAUAUAAGAUAGUGGUUACGGGCACGAUUACUUGGAAGAUGAUAGGAUAGAAAGAUGCACCAGUGUUUAUACUAUUGAUUGUAAUUAUUAAAAGGAAAGUACAAAGAUUAAGAUGCAUUAUAAAAGAGAGAAAAAAUUUUCUUUUUAAUAAAUUAUGGUUGUAAUACGCUUUAUAUAUCAAAUUUUCAUUUUAUAAUUUUAAAUGACUUAAAUGAAGUUAAUAAUAUGAAUAUAUGUAAUGUACUUACAUAAUAAUAUCUAUGUUGUUCUUUCCAGAUAGAGCAGUGUUUAAAAAUCGUAAUUAUUAAAAGGAAAGUACAGGGGUUAAGAUGCAUGGAAGAGAGAAAAAAGUUUCUUUUUAACAAAUUAUGAUGCAGCAGUGCUUACAUACGCCAUUGAUUGUAAAAAUCAUAAUUAUUAAAAGAAAAGGGAUUAAGAUGUAUUAUGGAAGAGAGGAAAAAUGUUCAUUUUAUCAAAUUAUCAUUAUGCAGCAGUGCUUACAUAUGCCAUUGAUUAUAAAAAUCAUAAUUAUUAAAAGAAAAGAUAUAUUAUAGAAGAGAGGAAAAAUUUUUAUUUUAACAAAUUAUCAUUAUGCAAAAGUGUUUAUAUAUGUCAUUGAUAAUCAAUUAAAUUAUUAAAAGGAAAGUACAGGGGUUAAGAUGCAUUAUGGAAGAGAGGAAAAAUUUUCAUUUUAACAAAUUAUCAUUGUAAUACAAUUUAUAAUAAAUUUCCAUUUCAUAAUUUUAAGUGACUUAAAUGAAGUUAAUGAAAUAGAUAUAUGUAAUGUACUUACAUAGUAAUAUCUAUGUUGAUGUAUAUAGAAAAUCCUUUCUUUUAUUAUGUUUGAUAUUUUCGUCGAGUUCAUUUCCAGGUUGCUCAAGAGGAACAAAAGGGAAAAUGAUAUCAAAGUGACACUAGGGAGCAGUAAGGGUGUGUCUUUAUCUUCGUUAUUACCAGUAGUAGUGGGUCCUUACCGAUUAUCCUGAAUUAAAGUGACUUCAUUAAGGAAGAUACAGAUACCACUUGUAACAACAUUAGAAAACUCGAAGGAGAUUUAUUUUUAUUUGAAAAGAAGGAAAACAAAAACACUUAAUUCUUUAACGUAUUUUUAAUUUUUUUUUUUCGUACUAAUUGCUUUUCAGGUGCAUCUCGUUGAAACGCCAAUUACCACCUAUAAAGGGCCGUGUAUCGAGACAAUGAAUUUGAAUAAUCGAUCCACCUCGAGCAAGGCGAUUAACUAUCGACAGAGAUCGUCACACUCGGCAUCCUUUUCUUCUCCAGAAACCUCCUUCCUCCAGAAGAUUCUCUCAAGGAGGAUACGUUCCGAUCCGACGUUUCAUUAGUUCCUUAAUGCAUCCUGCGGGUCGUUGCUGCUCUCAAGGAAAGGAUCAACACUUUUUUGCUUCGGAACGAUGCGUCAGGGAUGCACGGCUCUUAUGUGCCAGAGUGACUGAUGAACCAUCGACUAAUUACCUCCUCUAUGUGCCCUGUAAUACGAACGUAUUAAUAACCUGCAUUUAUAUAUAUCCGUGAAAAAUGACCGCUUAUCUCGCUUCACGGGCACAAAAGGAUCGUUGGUCCGUUGUGUUUAGAAAACGAGUUGAGGAGAAUGCGAUAGGAGAGGAGGAAUUAUAUCUAUAUACCGAGUUUCGUUCGUUGGAACGAAAUUUUUGUCAAUGCCCCGAUUCAUCCGUUAUCUCCUACACUGAUAUUCAAAUUUUAUUUUUGUUCCAUCAAGUUGCGUCAUUGUUGAGUUUAUAACGGCGAUUUAAUUAUAUAUCUUGUUGUUCACAAACAAUUUGGAAAUUUUCGUCCGUUGUCCGAUUGAUUAAUUUAUUGCUAUGAUACAUCAAAUUUUAUUUUUGUGUUUUAUCGGGUUACGCGUGUAUUUAUAUCUCGGUUGUCAGUGGAAUUUCUUACCGAUACGAAUUUUAGAAGUAAGAAAAUUUUAUUUGGAAAUACUUUACUCGAGAUUAAUUACAGAUAGAAUUAUGUGGAGGGAAAAUGUUUGUACGAAUAAUUGUACGAUCAAGUGAAUUUUUAUUACUUGUGUUGGAGAAGGAUAAUGAUGGAAAGAUAGGAAAUCGAACUUUUUAUAUCUUUUCCUAUAUAUAUAUAUAUAUAUAUUUGUUUAUUCGAUCUAGAAAAAGUAGUUGGUAGAUUCGAAAAAAGACGUUUCGAAAAGAUCAAAGCUUGAGCGGUACUCGAGCGCGUUCUACUUCGGCUUUGACUAAAUAAAAAGCGAGCUUUGCAUUUUUUACAGGCGACUGCGCUUAGAAAGCGACGAGAGACGGAAAGUUGAACGACCACCACCUUGGUCUUAACCGUAAUCCCGAAGAGUGACGAGCGUCAAAGCAACGCGGGGAUUCUUCAACUAUAUUACUAUCCUCUCUGUGUCGCCUUCGUUCCUUCGUUUAUCAACUUUCUCUCUCCAUCAUUCCUCCAUGUAAGAAACGAAAAAUGAAAGAAACGUGUCGAACUUACGACUAAUUUAAUCUUGAAAGACGAAUACGAAUUUCGAGUUGAGGAAAAUCGAGGAAGGAAAGAUCGAGGGAGGGAGAGA
rnacentral:lncRNA from 1 species